AUUGAACGCUGGCGGCAGGCCUAACACAUGCAAGUCGAGCGGAUGACGGGAGCUUGCUCCUUGAUUCAGCGGCGGACGGGUGAGUAAUGCCUAGGAAUCUGCCUGGUAGUGGGGGACAACGUUUCGAAAGGAACGCUAAUACCGCAUACGUCCUACGGGAGAAAGCAGGGGACCUUCGGGCCUUGCGCUAUCAGAUGAGCCUAGGUCGGAUUAGCUUGUUGGUGCGGUAAUGGCUCACCAAGGCGACGAUCCGUAACUGGUCUGAGAGGAUGAUCAGUCACACUGGAACUGAGACACGGUCCAGACUCCUACGGGAGGCAGCAGUGGGGAAUAUUGGACAAUGGGCGAAAGCCUGAUCCAGCCAUGCCGCGUGUGUGAAGAAGGUCUUCGGAUUGUAAAGCACUUUAAGUUGGGAGGAAGGGUUGUAGAUUAAUACUCUGCAAUUUUGACGUUACCGACAGAAUAAGCACCGGCUAACUCUGUGCCAGCAGCCGCCGCCGUAA
rnacentral:rRNA from 1 species